rnacentral:lncRNA from 1 species
CACUCUCUCUUUUUCCCCUUUCUCAGCUAAAAUCAGUUGGCUGAGGUCAGGACACACAAUGGCCAAGCCUGUGUCACUGACCAGAUCGCCUCCCACCCCCAGGCCUGUGGACAAGAGCGCCUUUGUCCGCGGUAUUUUAGGCGGGACUCCCUGGGUCUGCCCCAGCCCUGCUGGGGAAUGUUCCGCCAACUUCUUCCCAACCCGAAGUCACGGCUCUGGCCCCGGCUCCAGCCCCAGCUGCGCGAACCCAAGGCCAGAUAAAAACCCACAUACAAAGGAUGGAGAACGCUCUCCCAAAGAACCAUUGUGUUAGACCCAACCAGAGCCAGAAAGCUGCCGGGCCCGUCUUCACUCCACCCUCAUCACCUCCAAACCUGGACAGAAGGCGGGAAAAGGGAGGUGACAGCGGGCACCUACGAUGAGAGCCACCUGUGAUCACAAAGCUGUUCGUUUCAAGUGAAAAGAGCAUUGGACCCUGGGAGCAACACUGCCUCCACCAACGAGUGUGGACAGGGUCUUGGAUUCUUGGUCAAUAUUAUCAUGUCCCACCACUUAGAAGGCUUUUUUGGAGCAGCCGAAGGUUUAGCAUGUAAAAGGUCAUGCAUUUCUGGGUUUGCUUUCAGAUGCAAACCUUUGGGAUUUUAGGAACUGAUUCUUUACGUCGAAGUAAAUAGGGUUUUCCGGAGGAACUGAGGUCCUAAGGACUGGUGGUUUCCUAUCAACUCUCACUUCUUCUCUCAAACACAUGCAUGAAGCGUCUACUUAGGAAGAGGUUGUCAAUGCCAGCUCCUCGGGUGGCGGCUGGGCCAUCAGCACCAUCGUGGAGGGAGAGAGUCAGAUCAGGGUCACGCCCUUGCUGGGUCCCCGUUUACCUGCUGUGACACACAGGGCGAGGCCUCUAAGCGUCAGUGUAAAGUGGAGACAAUCACAGUUAUCUUUCCCAAAAUGCCUUUGUGAGGAUUAAACGGGGGAAAAAAAUCCGUGUAAACACUUGGCAUAGCCCAAGAGUGAUGCGAGGUGCUGUUGCUGUUGUUGUUACCACCAGAAGGGGCUGAAAGAGUAGGAGCUGCAGUUUCCCUGGACGCAAAAAAAGGUGAGACUCCACAACAAAAAGCAAACAGCCUGAUUUUAAAACGGGCCAAGGAGGAGUUCCCGCUAUGGCACAGCGGGGUAAAGAGUCUGAUGGCAGCAGCUCGGGUCACAGCUGCAGCUUGGAUUUAGUCCCUGGCUUGGGAACGUCCAUGCGCCGUGGGUGCAGCCACAAAAAUAAAUAAAUAAAAUACAGGGCAAAGGAUAUUUCUCCAAAGAAGAUACACAAAUGGCCUAAAAGCACUUGGAAAGAUACAUCUCUAGUUACUGGGGAAAUACAAAUUCAAACCACCAUGAGAUAACACCUCACACCUCUUAGGAUGGCUCCUAUCGAAACCCAGAAAAGAAGAGGUAUUGACCAGGAUGCGGAGAAACCCGAACCCUUCUGCGCUGCCGAUGGAACUGUGAGAUGCUCUGAAAAACAGGAAGGCAAUCCUUCAAAGAACUAAGCAUAGAAUUAUCAUAUGAUCCAGCUUGUCCACUUCUGGGGAUAUGCCCACGAGACUCAAAGGCAAGGACUCAAAUAGAUACUUGUACACCCCUGGUCCCAGCAGCAUUAUUCACAUUAACCAAAAGGUGGAUAUAACUCACCUGUCUAUUGACGGAUGAAUGGAUAAACAAAAUGUAGUCUAUCCACAAGCCUAAAUCUGCAUCUGUAAAAUGGCCCCAGGCCAGCCCCUAAGCAAAGAGAAGGCAGGAGGCUGCGGGGUAAUCGUCUCUCUGUAGCGGGGGAGGAGAGGCCGGAUGCAAACCCACACCCUGAGCCGCGGGACCAGCCAUGCCCUGGAACACACAGACAGGAGCAAGGUCCUUCUCUGCUCCUGGAAAUGGGAUCCCGCUCCAGAGAAGACUGAAGCAAAACUUCCUUUGCACCUAGACAGGCAAGACCCUCCACCUUCGGGGCCCCCCCGGUUCUGUGGAAUUAAAAAGGCUAUGGAGGAGUUCCCGUCGUGGCUCAGUGGUUAAUGAAUCCGACUAGGAACCAUGAGGUUGCGGGUUCAAUCCCUGGCCUUGCUCAGUGGGUGAAGGAUCCGGCGUUGCCAUGAGCUGUGGUGUAGGUUACAGAUGCAGCUCAGAUCCCGAGUUGUUGGGGCUGUGGCGUAGGCUGGUGGCUACGGCUCCGAUUAGACCCCUAGCCUGGGAACCUCCAUAUGCCGUGGGAGCGGCCCAAGAAAUGGCAAAAAAACGACAAAAAGAAAAAAGCAAAGAAGGGACGGUUUCAAGGCUGUUCAGCCUUGACACCCCUCUGACACCGCAUCGCACACAUAAGCAGAUAUAACCACAGACAAGGCCCCGCUGAAAGCAACACAGAAAGCCCAUCACAGCAGUUCUCCGUAAGGCCUCCGGCCAAUAGCAAGGGGCCUUUCUGGGUUGCUACAAUCCAGGAGGCUGACCAUUGUUCUGACCAGAACUAGACAGAACAAACCAGUCCUGCAGAGGCUGUGUUCUUUAGGAGUCACCCACGUUAACGUUUCCGGUUGUAUUAGAGGCGCACACACUUUCUAACGGGUUUACUGACUGGGGGCAUCCGAGCAUCCCAACCCAGAAGUCACGUUCAUGCUGCUUCACUGCUCUAGCCCUCUACCAUUCAAACUGGCUGGGAAAAGCACCAAUUGCUCACCUCCUUUUGGUCUCUGCAAAUAGGUAUGUUUGUACUUGGUGGAGGGGGGCACAUGGACAAACAAAAGGCAGCAGAAAACCCGAGAUCCAACAGCACAAAGAGUUGAGUGGCGUCACAUGCAACCAACCCUCCUGCAAUUAUUCUCAGUUUCGGCUGAGGUGAAAACUGUCCAUCAAAAGAGGCCACCACAUCUGCUGCGGGCCCUUUGUCCUCUGUGGGACGCGUCAUGUUGUCUUACAAUCAUAAUUAACUAAAAACAUCUGGGGAUGAUGACUCACUUUUUCUAAAUAUGCUUCAUAGUCAUGAAGGGAAAAAUUAUUCACCAGCCCAUGUGGUCUCCAGGAUACGGGGUCUCAAAGACACCCCUGCCCCCUGGAUAGGCAGCCCCUCUGGCUACAUGGUCAAUCAAUCAACUAAUAAUUAAUCAAGUUAAUAAUCAGUCGGGCCACUAACGACCCUUUCCUGAAUGCUGUGGGUAAUGUGGGACUUGACUUUGAAAGUGUGGAAGAAAAGGCACGAACACAAGUGAAGAAAAGGAAUGCCCGUACACAGGAGUCUGUGAUGAGCGCCCACAAAGUCAGGGGACAAUAAGAACUUUCAGGGAGUCCCUGUUGUGACUCAGCAGUAACAAACCUCACCAGUAUCCAUGAGGAUGCAGGUUCGAUUCCUGGCCUCGUUCAGUGGGUUAAGGAUUCAGUGUGGCCGUGAGAACUUCCAUAUGCCGCAGGUGCAGUUCUAAAAAGAGGAAAGGGAAAGAAGAAAAAAGAACUUUCAGAGGGCAGAGCGCUUUCAGCUGGGAUGAGCAGGGGCAAUGCCUCAGAAGACAGAGAAGCGGGCUGACAGCAAGGGUGAAAAGGAAGGGCCUGACCGGAGCAGAUGGACAUUCGUAAGAAGUAGGAUAAGCCGUGGUGAAGGUAAGCCUUGGUGACUGCUAAGACAUGGGGGACAGGACAAAGUAAAAGUCGACUCCAAAGGGAACAAGAGAAGUCAGAACCAGUCCCCCUGGGAUCCAGCCACGCGGUGGGAGACGUUUUAGAAGGACGUGGUGGAGUUUGCUGUCUACACAUUCAAGUUCAAAGGGAUCCCUGGGCAAGUGGGGGGAACCUGGCCCUUGGCAGGUGGAGCUGAAGCAUCUGCAUGGAGAUGGCGGUGAGAACUCACAGGGGGGCUGGCAGUUCGUGCAGGAAGGAUGCACAGUGGAACCCGGGGUGGGGGGGGGUACAUGAUUCUGGGAGCAAGAGAAUGAAUUUUCCCCGAUAUCUGGGCUCGACUCACCCCAGCCCUGUGUCCUCCCUUAGCUCACGCAGCACCCCCUGGCCCCUCUCCGUACUCUUAAACACUAAAAAUCGGGUCUUAAUCUUUUUCCCUCCAGCCCAACCCAGGGCCUCACACUCAGGGGCUACACGAUGGGGAAUGGACAGGGGUGAGUUCUGAGAAUCAGAUCGCAGAGAGGGGCUCUUAACAAGAAGUAGGUAGUGAAGUGUGCACGGAAGAAAUGAAGAAAAUGCUUAGGGAAAACGAGAGGAUGUCCUUCCCCCCACCCCCUUCCCGGCUAACUCAGAAAGAGGAAUAUGGAGUUCCUGUCGUGGUGCAGUGGUUAACGAAUCUGACUAGGAACCAUGAGGUUGCGGGUUCGGUCCCUGCCCUUGCUCAGUGGGUUAACGAUCCGGCGUUGCCGUGAGCUGUGGUGUAGGUCGCAGACGUGGCUCGGAUCCCGCGUUGCUGUGGCUCUGGCGUAGGCCGGUGGCUACAGCUCUGAUUGGACCCCUAGCCUGGGAACCUCCAUAUGCCGCGGGAGCGGCCCAAGAAAUAGCAACAACAACAACAAAAAAAAGACAAAAGAAAGAGGAAUAUGGAAAUGAGGUGGGCGUGGAAAUGUGCACACAGGCACACAAGGAGCUAGGGACCACGAGGACACACCAGGAAGGGAGGCAGGACACUCAGAGAGAUGCCCAUUCAGAACCAAGCAAGAAAGAGGACAGGGCUGCAUGUAGGCAGCGGCUGGCCCUGGCCCAGCAGGCUCACAGGAAGUCACUGGCAGCCAGUUUCCUGCACUCAAUUUGGUUGGGACCGAGGCCCCUCAUAAGGUUUCUGUGUCCCACACUGUAAAAGAGUCCUAAGAUCAAGUGGACAUAUGGCAUCUGGUUUCAGAGGUCCUGUUCGAGAUGCACGGGAUUCCCCAGCUCAGCGUCUCCAAACCUCCAUCACUCACGUUCUGCUGUCACAACUUUCUCAUCAUCCUGCAUCAGCUGCACUGUGAUUUACUUAAGUGAUUUUUUUUUUUUUUGGUCUUUUUUUUUUUUCCUGGCCAGCACUCGUGGCAUAUGGCAGUUCCCAGGCUAGG